UACGAAGGGGGCUAGCGUUGCUCGGAAUCACUGGGCGUAAAGGGCGCGUAGGCGGCGUUUUAAGUCGGGGGUGAAAGCCUGUGGCUCAACCACAGAAUGGCCUCGAUACUGGGACGCUUGAGUAUGGUAGAGGUUGGUGGAACUGCGAGUGUAGAGGUGAAAUUCGUAGAUAUUCGCAAGAACACCAGUGGCGAAGGCGGCUCACUGGCCCGAUACUGACGCUGAGGCACGAAAGCGUGGGGAGCGAACAGG
rnacentral:rRNA from 1 species